UGAAAAUUUCAUACCUUUCCU
rnacentral:siRNA from 1 species